rnacentral:rRNA from 1 species
UAGUCCACGCCGUAAACGAUGAUUACUCGGUGCUGGCGAUAUACUGUCAGUGCCUAAGCGAAAGUGAUAAGUAAUCCACCUGGGGAGUACGAUCGCAAGGUUGAAACUCAAAGGAAUUGACGGGGGCCCGCACAAGCGGUGGAGCAUGUGGUUUAAUUCGAUGAUACGCGAGGAACCUUACCUGGGCUUAAAUGCAUAAUGACAGGCUGAGAAAUCAGUCCUUCUUCGGACAGAAUGCAAGGUGCUGCAUGGCCGUCGUCAGCUCGUGCUGUGAGGUGUCGGGUUAAGUCCCGCAACGAGCGCAACCCCUACCUUCAGUUGCCAGCAAGUAAUGUUGGGGACUCUGGAGGAACUGCCUACGCAAGUAGUGAGGAAGGCGGGGACGACGUCAAAUCAUCAUGGCCUUUAUGCCUAGGGCUACACACGUGCUACAAUGGCAGGACAAAGGGUAGCAACACCGCGAGGUGAAGCCAAUCCCAAAAAUUCUAGU